rnacentral:rRNA from 1 species
AUACGGAGGGUGCGAGCGUUGUCCGGAUUUAUUGGGUUUAAAGGGUGCGUAGGCGGGCGUUUAAGUCAGCGGUGAAAUCCCACGGCUCAACCGUGGAACUGCCAUUGAUACUGGGCGCCUUGAGUACCGUUGGGGUAGGCGGAAUUUAUGGUGUAGCGGUGAAAUGCAUAGAUACCAUAAGGAACCCCGAUAGCGUAGGCGGCUUACUGAGCGGUAACUGACGCUGAGGCACGAAAGCAUGGGUAGCGAACAGGAUUAGAUACCCUGGUAGUCCAUGCCGUAAACGAUGAUCACUCGAUGUGCGCGAUAUACUGUGCGCGUCCAAGCGAAAGCGUUAAGUGAUCCACCUGGGGAGUACGCCCGCAAGGGUGAA